AUUGAACGCUGGCGGCAGGCUUAACACAUGCAAGUCGAGCGGAGAGAGGUAGCUUGCUACUGAUCUUAGCGGCGGACGGGUGAGUAAUGCUUAGGAAUCUGCCUAUUAGUGGGGGACAACAUUUCGAAAGGAAUGCUAAUACCGCAUACGUCCUACGGGAGAAAGCAGGGGAUCUUCGGACCUUGCGCUAAUAGAUGAGCCUAAGUCGGAUUAGCUAGUUGGUGGGGUAAAGGCCUACCAAGGCGACGAUCUGUAGCGGGUCUGAGAGGAUGAUCCGCGACACUUGGACUGGAACCCCGCCCAAGCUCCUGCGGGAGGCAGCAGUGGGGAAGAUUGGCCAAUGGUCGCAAGCCUGAUCCAGCCAUGCCGCGUGUGUGAAGAAGGCCUUUUGGUUGUAAAGCACUUUAAGCGAGGAGGAGGCGCUCUAGGAUAAUACCCUAGAUGCGUGGACGUUACUCGCAGAAUAAGCACCGGCUAACUCUGUGCCAGCAGCCGCAGUAAUAC
rnacentral:rRNA from 1 species